GGGGAAGACAGUAUAGUGUUGAGAUGCCCUUGCCCUCAGAGGGAAAGGAGCUUAGUCCCAGAAGAUCUCCAUCUUGACCAGUAUAGGCUGUGCGAAUGAGGGACCAAGUGGACCCAUGUGGCUGGCCACAAGCAGCUUGUGGUGCUAGUGGCCUGGUUUCACUUGUAGAUAGCUAGAGAACCUUGAAGGUGCUGGAAGGAAGGUUCCAGGAAGGUUCUUGGGCAAUUUACACAGAAGUUCUUGAGCUCUCCUCUCUGUAUUCCAUCAACUUAGCCUCUCUUGACUUGAGAAAUGAAGAGGAAGGCCAGCCAGGAGUGAGGGAAUGGUUCCCCCUUGGACCAAACAGGCCCAUAUCUGCUGAGAGGAAACUCCUGUGGUACCAGAACUGUCCUGGACAGGUCGUCUCCAAUGGAAAAACCAAACACAUGCAGGAACAAUAUAGAUGUGCAGAAGCCAUUCUUAACAUCUGGAGAACUGGCUCUAAGGCUGGAUGAGUCUGGUGUGGCCAAGAGGCUGCUGGGCAUGGGCAUCUUUGGGAAGAGGCACUGAAGCUCUGUGGACAGGUGUCUCGUCCAAAACUUCGUCCUCAUGCAGUUUCCGUCCCUGAAGUCUCUUCUAAAGGCUGACUCCAAGCCAGGUGUGGUGGUGCAUGCCUGUAAUCCCAGCACUUGGGAGGCUGAGGCAGGAGGAUCACUGUGAAUUCAAGGCUAUGCUGAGCUACAUAGUAAACUCAAGGCCAGCUUGGAGAGCAAAAGAAGACCUUGCCUCAAACAAACAAACAGACAGACAGACAAAUAAAGACUGACUCCCUGUUAUGGGGAAGGGGGCUCUGUGGGCUAACGAACCAGGCUUGAGGUCUUGCUCUGGCAGCUGUAGUGACCCUUUGAAUCAACUCUGUUUUGUCACACAUGUGUCCAUUUUGUGGCAGUUCUCAUUGUUCAAGGUAGUGACAGAACCAAG
rnacentral:lncRNA from 1 species